ACGCAGAAGCUGGGUAUCUUCCUCUGGCCCACAGCACUCAGGAGAGGGUUAAAUCCACCUCACAGGGUGAAGUCUAUCUCCAUGACAACAUUUACACAACAGGAAAUUGAAUUCUUGCAAAAACAUGGAAAUGAAGUCUGCAAACAGAUUUGGCUAGGAUUAUUUGAUGAUAGAUCUUCAGCAAUUCCAGACUUCAGGGAUCCACAAAAAGUGAAAGAGUUUCUACAAGAGAAAUAUGAAAAGAAAAGAUGGUAUGUUCCUCCAGAGCAAGCCAAAGUGGUGGCAUCGGUUCACGCUUCUAUUUCAGGGUCCUCUGCCAGCAGCACAAGCAGCACCCCUGAGGUCAAACCCCUGAAAUCUCUGUUGGGAGAGUCUGCACCAGCACUGCACUUAAAUAAGGGCACACCUACUCAGUCACCAGUUGUAGGUCGCUCUCAGGGGCAGCAGCAGGAGAAGAAGCAGUUUGACCUUUUGAGUGACCUUGGCUCAGACAUCUUUGCUGCUCCAGCGCCUCAGUCGACAGCUACAGCCAACUUUGCUAACUUUGCACACUUUAACAGUCAUGCAGGUGGAAGUGCUGGAUCAGUAAAUGCUAAUUUUGCUCAUUUUGAUAACUUCCCCAAAUCCUCCAGUGCUGAUUUUGGAUCCUUCAGUACAUCCCAGAGUCAUCAGACAGCAUCAACUGUUAGUAAAGUUUCAACAAACAAAGCUGGUUUACAGACAGCAGACAAAUAUGCGGCACUUGCUAAUUUAGACAAUAUCUUCAGUGCUGGGCAAGGAGGUGAUCAAGGGAGUGGUUUUGGGACCACCGGUAAAGCUCCUGUUGGUUCUGUGGUUUCAGUUCCCAGUCAUUCAAGUGCAUCUUCUGACAAGUAUGCAGCCCUGGCAGAGUUAGACAGCGUGUUCAGUUCUGCAGCCACCUCCAAUAAUGCGUACACAUCCACCAGUAAUGCUAGCAGCAGUGUCUUUGGAACAGUGCCUGUGGGUGCCUCUCCUCAGACACAGCCUGCUUCAAGUGGGCCUGCUCCAUUUGGAGCUACGCCUUCUACGAAUCCAUUUGUUGCUGCUACUGGUCCGUCUGCAGCGUCAUCUACAAAUCCAUUUCAGACCAAUGCCAGAGGAGCAACAGGCCUUUCUGGAGCAAUGCAUUCUCAAGUGUUUCCUCACGCUCAUUUUGCGGCAACCUUUGGCACUGCAUCUAUGAGUAUGCCAGCAGGAUUUGGCACUCCUGCUCAGUACAGUCUCCCCACCAGCUUUAGCGGCAGUUUCCAGCAGCCUCCCUUCCCAGCCCAAGCAGCUUUCCCUCAGCAGACAGCCUUUUCUCAGCAGCCCAAUGGUGCAGGUUUCGCCACAUUUGGACAAACAAAACCAGUGGUAACACCUUUUGGUCAAGUAGCAGCUGCUGGAGUGUCUAGUAAUCCUUUUAUGACUGGUGCACCAACAGGACAAUUUCCAACAGGAAGCUCAUCAACCAAUCCUUUCUUAUAGCCUUAUAUAGACACUGUACUGGAACGAACUUUUAUGUCAUCAUAUUACAUCUCCUCGCCUCUUGCACUGUUGUCUUGUUUCACUGACCUUAGCUUUAAACAUGAGAGAAGUCUUUAAAAUGCCUGCAUUGUGUAUUAAACACCAGGUAAUAUGUGCAAAACAGAGGGCUCAGCAACAACUUUUCACUUGUGAAUUGGCAGGAAAAGGUAGCGGCAUCAUGUAAGUUAAAAAUUGGCUAACGUUAAGUUAUUGCAGAUCCCACAUUCAUUAUGCUGCAGCACUGUACAUAUUUUUCUUAGAAAUUAGCUAUUUGUGCAUAUCAGUAUUUGUAACUUUAACACAUUGUUAUGUGAGAAAUGUUACUGGGGAAAUAGAUCAGCCACUUUUAAGGUGCUGUCAUCUAGCUUGAAAUGAAUGAUUAAAAUCAUUUGAAACAUUGCUUCUGGAAAAUUCAGAUUGGAAGGUUCUAUUCGUUCUUGAAUUUUUCCUUCUGAAGAGCUCUUCUAUUCGUACAUGGCUAAGUUCUUUAAGGAUGUGGAGGACACCUGUCUGCGGCUAAAGCUGAUCAUGUUUUGCUACAGUUUGCAGGUGAACAAAAUAAAUACUAGAAAAUAUGCUAUUGUUUUUUGUGUUCUUGCUGCAAUGCCUUUACCAAAGUGGCCUUAAAUAAUGAGUAGUGAGUUGAGAACAUCUUGAACUCUUAAAGACUUCUAGUGACUAACUUUUUUAAAAAGGCCAUGUAGAAAAUUUAUUAAAACUACUAGGACUGCUAUAUUCAGGAAUGUGACAGUGGAAAAGCAUUUAAAUGUAGCUUGUCAGAUUCACCAUGCUACUUCUAAUUUCUCUGCAACUUCUUAAUUUUGUGAAAUUUGUAAAUAUGGAGAGAAUUUGCAUGUAUGUGUAUUUACAAAUAUUUUUAAAAGAUCUUGAAUUCUCAGACUGCAAAAUGCCUACUUUAACUCUUUUCCCUUCUGUGUGCAUUGUCUCUGAAUGUACUGGAAUCAGACGUGCACUGACCGUGACCGUGACGUGGUCGCACCAGAGGUCCCCUCACUUUCUGGACAGACUAAUACUGUCUGUCAAACGUUUGUUUGUGUUUGUUUUGGGGAUAAAGGAAAAGGAACCCGAUGUUACCUUAAAGUGAUGAAAUACUGUGUAAAAUGGUAGCCAUACUAAUAUUAGUUUAUCUUUUUGUUAAUAUUCAAAUGAACUUGUUUAAAUAUUUAUAUGUAGUAAUGCCUCAUUCAUCCCGGGAUAAUCUGGCCCUUUCAUCAAAACCAAAUACAACUAAGAAUUGAAAUGAUUAAAAAAAAUCUUUGAACAAUACCCCUAAGUUAUGAAUUCUGUAUGUAGAGCAUAUGUUUCUUUGAAUGUGUUUAAUUGUUUGAUAAUUUGAUUUAUAUUGGUCCAUAGCAUAUUAGUGUUGAUGAACGGAGGGGAUCCACAAAUCGGAGGAAGAAAGAGCAUGGAUGGCCAGGCCCCCUAGGGACAGCCAGCUCAGGCGAGAGGUGGUGACUCUGCCGUCAAAAGCUGGAACUGCACACACAAUGCCGG
rnacentral:lncRNA from 1 species